UUAAUGGUGCUUCUGUUCAUUUGAAGAGGAAAGGAGGCAGAAGCAGUGUGGUGAAAAAGAAAGCAUUCUCUGAACCCAGUUCUCAGAUCAUUGGCCGGAAUCCAGAGAAGAAAGAGAGUGAAAACCUUAUCAAGAAACGUCUUCGUCCUAUGACC
rnacentral:lncRNA from 1 species